GACGCUGGCGGCAGGCUACACCUGCAGUUCGAACGGUAACAGGAUGUGCUUGCACAUCGCUGACGAGUGGCGGACGGGUGAGUAAUGCUUAGGGAUCUGCCUCUGUGUGGGGGAUAACUAUUGGAAACGAUAGCUAAUACCGCAUAAUGUUUACGGACCAAAGGGGGCGUUUGCUCCCGCGCAGAGAGGAACCUAAGUGAGAUUAGCUAGUUGGUAAGGUAAUGGCUUACCAAGGCGACGAUCUCUAGCUGUUCUGAGAGGAAGAUCAGCCACACUGGGACUGAGACACGGCCCAGACUCCUACGGGAGGCAGCAGUGGGGAAUAUUGCACAAUGGGGGGAACCCUGAUGCAGCCAUGCCGCGUGUGUGAAGAAGGCCUUCGGGUUGUAAAGCACUUUCAGUUGUGAGGAAAGGUUAGUAGUUAAUACCUGCUAGCUGUGACGUUAGCAACAGAAGAAGCACCGGCUAACUCCGUUGCCCAGCAGCCGCACGGUAAUACGGAGGGUGCGAGCGUUAAUCGGAAUUACUGGGCGUAAAAGCGCACGCAGGC
rnacentral:rRNA from 1 species